rnacentral:rRNA from 1 species
GUAGGUGGCAAGCGUUGUCCGGAACUAUUGGGCGUAAAGCGCGCGCAGGCGGUUCUUUAAGUCUGAUGUGAAAGCCCACGGCUCAACCGUGGAGGGUCAUUGGAAACUGGAGAACUUGAGUACAGAAGAGGAAAGCGGAAUUCCACGUGUAGCGGUGAAAUGCGUAGAGAUGUGGAGGAACACCAGUGGCGAAGGCGGCUUUCUGGUCUGUAACUGACGCUGAGGCGCGAAAGCGUGGGGAGCAAACAGGGAUUAGAUACCCUGGUAGUCUACGCCGUAAACGAUGAGUGCUAAGUGUUAGGGGGUUUCCGCCCCCUUAGUGCUGCAGCUAACGCAUUAAGCACUCCGCCUGGGGAGUACGGCCGCAAGGCUG